GUGUUCGUGGUUCAGUGAUAGAAUUCUUGCUUUCCAUGCAGGAGACCCAGGUUUGAUUCCCAGCCAAUGCA
rnacentral:tRNA from 1 species